rnacentral:rRNA from 1 species
AUUGAACGCUGGCGGCAGGCCUAACACAUGCAAGUCGAACGAGUGGCGGACGGGUGAGUAAUGUCUGGGAAACUGCCUGAUGGAGGGGGAUAACUACUGGACACGGUAGCUAAUACCGCAUACAUUCGGAUGGGCCGAGAUGGGAUUAGGUGGUCGGUGGGGUAACGGCUCACCUAGGCGACGAGCCCUAGCUGGUCUGAGAGGAUGACCAGCCACACGGGAACGGAGAAACGUGCCAGACUCCUACGGGAGGCAGUAGUGGGGAAUAUUGGACAAUGGGCGCAAGCCUGAUGCAGCCAUGCCGCGGGUAUGAAGAAGGCCUUCGGGUUGUAAAGUACUUUCAGCGGGGAGGCGUUACCCACAGAAUAAGCACCGGCUAACUCCGUGCCAGCCGCCGCGGUAAUUC